rnacentral:misc_RNA from 1 species
UAAAUUUUUUUUUUUUUUCUUUUUUUUGGUUUCUUGGCUCCUCUGUUGCUAAGGAGGUAAUCUAAGAAAAACAAGUUUACCAAGUAUGUAUGGGAUAAAACAAGUUUACCCAGUAUGUAUGGGAUAUCUAAACAUCCUUUCCUUUUAUAUUCCUCCAGUAAACAUGAUUGAUAUAACCAGCAAAAUUAGAAAUUGUUGUUGGAGGUCUGUGUCUACUUAAGAGAAUGAAAUAAUGGAUCAGGUUCAGUUUCUAGUGUAUUUUCUAUAAAGCUGAAAUUUUGGCAGUGUAUGAGUUUAUGGUAAUUGGGUGUGUUUAAAAGGUUAGAACAAAUGUAAUACUUGUAGAAAAGCAUCAGCUGCUGUUCAGAUUCUAUUUCUGAAAGUGUAAGACUCCUGUGUGAAAAUUGCUCCUUGUUUUCCUUUCCUGCCAAAUGGAAGUAAACCCUACCAGCUGGAUUCUUAAACAUUGAAAACGGUCUGUUAAUUUACUUUAUUGUUUGGUAUCCAACUAAAGGUUGAUUCACAGCGUCUAAUGUUAGUAGUAUGCCCUAGAGCAU